rnacentral:lncRNA from 1 species
GGAUCAAUCCAACUUGACUCAUGAUUAACCUGAAAUAUAGAGAGCACCUCAAUACUAGGCCUAUCCAACUGUUCAAUCAGUAUCUUCUGAUUUAGUUCGAAAAAACCCAAAGUGGCGAGGUGCGAUAGAGUUUUAGCCCAAAUAUUUUUUGACCUUGGAAUUUGGAGCACUUCAAACUCUUCAGAAUUUUUGGAUAGCUCCUUGACAUUCUAUAGAUAAUGAGCCAUUAUGGAAUUCUUGACUUCAAAUUGACCCCAUACUUGGCUGACAAUAAGCUGUG